UGGGGAGUGGAAGAUGGCAAAACAAUAAUGCUGGAAAACAAACCAGUUUCACUAAAAAAGAGAUGUUGACAGGAAGCCAGGAAGGCUGGUCAACAACCUUAAUUGCUCUAACCUUUAGUUGAGAUAUUGUUAGCUGAAGCAGCCUCCACCUUGUUUGUCCCGUGUAAGUUUCUGUUAUUUUCAGCCUAAGGGCUAAAUGUAAACUUCUCUUUAUGUUGCCUAAGAUGUUUUCCCCAAAGCUUCAAUAAAAGGGGAUGGCAGGGUCAGAGCAGUAGUAGUUCUCCCACUAGAGUUGGACUACUGCCUGGCCUCCCAUAUGGCCAAAUUGAAUUUUUUCAAGUCUCAAGUCUCUUCAUUUGUGUGCAGCCCUUCUUCAGAACCUGAACCCUGAAUUGGAACUCUUUCCA